rnacentral:rRNA from 1 species
UACAGAGGUCCCGAGCGUUGUUCGGAUUCAUUGGGCGUAAAGGGUGCGUAGGCGGCGGGGUAAGUUUGAUGUGAAAUCCCGGGGCUCAACCCUGGAAUUGCAUUGAAUACUACCUUGCUAGAGUACCGGAGAGGAAACUGGAAUUUACGGUGUAGCAGUGAAAUGCGUAGAGAUCGUAAGGAAGACCAGUGGCGAAGGCGAGUUUCUGGACGGUAACUGACGCUGAGGCACGAAGGCCAGGGGAGCGAACGGG